GGGCAGCAGAGGCGGUUCCGGCUGCGGCUCUGCGGGCGGGCGGGCGGGCGGGCGGCGAGUUGAGCGGGCCGGGGGGCGGGGAUGCGGAGCCGCCGUCGCCGCCUGAGAACCUGAGCGUCGCCGGGCCCCGCCCGCGCGGUCACCACAGUCUGAACGCGCCGCGCUUCCCGAGCGCGGGCCGGGCCCAGCGCCGGCCGCACCGCGUCUGGGUCCCGGCGGCCCGCCCCCCGCGCGCCGCCUCGCCCGCGCGCUCGGCGCUCAUGCGGGCCGAGCCCCGCCCCCCGGCCCGAGCCCGCCGAGCGCCCCCCGAGCCAGCGCGCGCCGUCCGCCCGCACCAUGCUCAAGUGCAUCCCGCUGUGGCGCUGCAACCGGCACGUGGAGUCGGUGGACAAGCGGCACUGCUCCCUGCAGGCUGUGCCCGAGGAGAUCUACCGCUACAGCCGCAGCCUGGAGGAACUGCUGCUCGACGCUAACCAGCUGCGCGAGCUGCCCAAGGUGAGCGGCCGCCGCACCUGCCAUCCUGACGCCCGAGGCGCGGCGCCCGGCGGACUGGACGGGUACUGUCCCGCUGCGGCUGCCGGCUGGAGCGAGACCUCGGCGGACGCUGCCGGGCGGGGCACCGAGCUGCAAGCCGGCCCAGCUGGUUCUUACUGGCCAGAGCCCCGCCCCGGUCGGCCACCCCCACCCCCAUCGCCUGUGCUAGCACCAGGUGGCCGCGGUCCUUGGGUCCGUGCCUGGGGAUGGAGUCGAAGAGCUGCUGAAUGAAACCCGUGCACGGGGGCGAGGGAGGGAGAUGGGACCAGGGUAGAAGGUGGACCUGGCGUGGCAGUGGAUACAACUUGCUGGGCUGCGCUGAAGGUGGGGUCCUGGAAUUCUCCCUGCACUGGCGCCUUUCCCUUUGGGUGCGGGCUGGGUGGGGCCUCCUAGAGUGCCCAGCCUGUCAGGUUUGUUCUCUGCAACCUCGCUGUGGGGUCAACUCUCGUGUCCCACGGUUCUUCCCGUCAGCUUGUUUUUCUUCUAGGGUCUUCCCAAAAUCCCUAGAAAGGAGCCAAGGGAAAGCAGAUCACGAAAGAUUUCCUUUUCAGGAACACGGGUCUAAAUGAUCUGUUGUUCAGGGGUUGGGUGCCAUGGAGGGUGUGGCUUUGCUCUGGGCAGUUCUGUGUUUCGUGGUCACCAACAGAACUUGUCUGUGUGUCCUGUGAUUCCUGUGUAUGGCAUUGAAUGUUUUGUGGUAGUUCGCUGUUUUUAGGGGUUUUUUCCCCCCCUCUCUUUUUGUGGGUUUUGUUGAGCUUUUAUUGAUUAUUGUCAGAAAGCAGCAGUAAGCACCAUUGGGGGGGUCCCUCGGUGACUGAUCUGUGGAUGAAAGAAGUUUUUAGGGUGGUGGUUGGAGGUCUGAGGGUCACUCUGGGCAGCUUCUCAGCUGGGCCAGUUACGUGAGAGAUGCAACAGAUAUGGAGGCUCCUGUGAGGUGAUCAGGGGACGAGAUGUCAAGUGGGAAAUGGAGUCUGACCAGGGCCGGGUGCUGUCUGUUUCCCUGUUUUCCUCUCAGCAACUGGGGCACCAUGGCUAGAUCCCUGUACCUUGUGACCUGGGGCAGGAAGAGUUUUAGAGACCUGGGACUUUCUAAGUGUUCGGGAGCCCUUUUCUUUUCUUCUUUUUUCUUUUUUUUAAAUACUCAACUUCUAGGUAGAUACAACAUCUUUAUUUUACAUUUAUGUGGUGCUGACGAUUGAACCCAGUGCCUUGUGCAUGCUAGGCGAGCGCUCUACCACCGAGCCACAACUCCAGGCCCCUCAGGAGCCCUUUUCUGUCCUCGGGGGUUGCAGCUGUGGAACCAUUCCCUGACUGAACCCCCUACUCACAGCCCUUCUUCCGGCUGCUGAACCUGCGCAAGCUGGGCCUCAGUGACAACGAGAUUCAACGGCUGCCUCCUGAAGUGGCCAACUUUAUGCAGCUGGUGGAGCUGGACGUGUCCCGUAAUGGUAGGUGGGCAAUACAGGGUGAGACAAGGAGGUCCUGGCAGCUGUAGGCAUCUCUCUAUGGUGACCUUCCCACAGAUAUUCCUGAAAUACCUGAGAGCAUCAAGUUUUGCAAAGCCCUAGAGAUUGCAGACUUCAGUGGGAAUCCUCUGUCCAGGUGAAUUCAGUGGUGGGGGUCAGUGUGACUGUGGCAGUCUUGCAGCCCUGCUCUGAGUAUCUGAGGUCCUCUGCUUUCACCUUCCUCUGCCAGACUCCCUGAUGGCUUCACACAGCUGCGCAGCCUGGCUCACCUGGCCCUGAAUGACGUGUCCCUACAGGCACUGCCCGGGGAUGUGGGCAAGUGAGUGCUGCUUGUGAACUGGUCUGGGGGAGGAUCAGCUUGGCCUUGCCUCCCUCAGUCUCAGCCCUGGUCUCUCUCUCAGUCUGGCCAACCUAGUGACCCUGGAGCUCCGGGAGAACCUGCUCAAGUCUUUGCCUGCGUGAGUGUGCUGGGCCUCCACCUUGCAUGGGCGGAGCGAUGCUGGGCCUGGGCCUUGAGACCACACCAAGACUGUCUCUUGUGCAGGUCCCUGUCUUUUCUGGUCAAGCUGGAACAGCUGGAUCUGGGAGGCAACGACCUAGAAGUGUUGGUAUGGUGGGAGCCAUUGGGUGGGGCACAGGGGUGUAAGACAGUUACUCCUGCUGGGCAAAGCAGAGUAUCUCUGUGGCCACACCGGGUUCUCCUGUCCUUAUCCCUUCUUUUAGCCGGACACUCUGGGAGCUCUGCCCAACCUGCGGGAGCUGUGGCUGGACCGGAACCAACUGUCAGCACUGCCCCCGGUGAGUGAGGGCAGGACUGGCCUCCUACCUCCAGCUGCUGUCCCCUGACCCUGUGCCUGCCCUUAGGAGCUCGGGAACCUAAGGCGUUUGGUGUGUCUGGAUGUGUCUGAGAACCGGCUAGAGGAGCUGCCGGUAGAGCUGGGGGGUCUGGCACUUCUCACAGACCUGCUGCUGUCCCAGAACCUGCUGCAGCGGCUUCCUGAUGGCAUUGGUCAGUGCACCCAGGGGGGCCUAGGGGUUGCAUGCCCUGGUCAGGCGGCCCCACAAGCUGUCAGCAAAGGUACUGGUGGGCAUUAGAUGAGGGUUCUUAUGUCAUCCAAGCUGGAAGCAUCUCAAGGAAGGGAACUGAGGCCAAGACUCAAGUUGGGUCCUGAGACAUCUAGGUAUCAGCCUACAGGGGCAGGGUAGUUCACGUGGCAGAGUGGGUUCAGGUCUUAUGAACAUGGAUAGCGGGCAUAGUGUUUUCCCAGAAGAAGUCAGGUGGGCAGGGCUGUUUCAGGUCUGUAGUGGAGAAGACGGGAGGGCGAGCACAGGUCUGCUGCAGCUCAGGGUUCUCGGGGUCCUCUCAGGAGCCAUGGGAUCUGGCUGUAGCCAUGCAGAAAGCUGGUCUCUACUGGAGGGUUGGGUCAAGUGUUCAGAUUUGCCCUUGGCCCCACUCAGCCUGAUCACUGUGUUUCCCUGACACCAGGUCAGCUGAAGCAGCUGUCUAUCCUGAAAGUGGACCAGAAUCGCCUGUGUGAGGUGACUGAGGCCAUUGGUGACUGUGAGAACCUCUCUGAGCUGAUCCUCACAGAGAAUCUGCUAACGGUAGGCAACCCUGGCUACCAGGCAGAGAGGUGCUCAGUUCCUAAGUUGUCCUCAGCGUCAUCUUGAGACGAUGGGGCCUGGAGUGUGUAGGGUACAGUGAGAGUGCCAGCACACAGCAAGAGCCGAAGGGGCUGCUAGCACCGUAUGUGUUGCGUGCUAGCAGAUGCUGGUGGCCAGGCUUGUUGGGGUCUGUGUCCCCUGCUGGGGCAAACUCAGGUGGAGAAUACUUUGGGUCAAAGAGGGAGCUCCCUGGUAGGCGCCAGGGCAGGGUGGGGUCUGUGGGCCAGGGCAGGGCCCUCCCAGGUGGAGUAGAGAGCUAAGGUCCUGUUUUACAUAGUGUGUGUUGUGCUGGGCAAGGGCCAGAGGGGAGGACCGGUAAGAACGGGUCUGAUUUUGGAAUGGAUGUGGAUCCGGACAGGGGGGCUGCUUUUCAGGUACAUCUGUUCCUUGCAAAGCGGGACAGAGGAAAGUUUAUGGAAUAUGGUUGGAGUGGUUACCAACCUUGCUACCAUCUGGUGGACAAGGCAUCUGGACCGCCCCUUCACACAGGAUGUCCUGUUUUACGUAGUGUGUGUUGUGCUGGGCGAGGGCCAGAGGGGAGGACCGGUAAGAAUGGGUCUGAUUUUGGAAUGGAUGUGGAUCUGGACAUGGGGUCUGCCUUUCAGGUCCAUCUGUUCCUUGCAAAGCGGGACAGAGGAAAGUUUAUGGAAUGGGGUUGGAGUGGUUACCAACCUUGCUACCAUCUGGUGGGCAAGGCAUCUGGACCGCCCCUUCACACAGGAUGUCUGUAUCUCAGUGAGGAGAAAAGAGAGCAGCGAGGCCAAGGGGCAGACAGAGCAGGAGCUGGCCCAUGCAUCAGAGGGGCCCAUAGGCACCUAGCCCUGAAAUGUCUGCACCAGGGUACCUGCAGGAGAGGUCCAUGGACAGUGUAGUCAGAAGUUUUGGGUGGCCUGACUGGGUUUGGUGCCAGCGCGCAGGCGGGUACAGAGCGAGGGAUAUAGCUUAAUUCUACAUCCCUGAUUCCCAGAGGCCAUGGGGAUCCCCGGCUAAAGCUGAUCAUGAUUUCCAUUAUCCUUAAUUUGCCCCAAAGGAUUCUCGUCUUCUUUCUUCAUACCCCAGGGGUCUUCUGCUGACCUCUGACCCCUUUUUCUCCUGGCCAGGCCCUGCCCCACUCUCUGGGCAAGUUGACCAAGCUCACCAACCUCAAUGUGGACCGGAAUCACCUCGAGGCGCUACCACCUGAGAUCGGAGGCUGUGUGGCACUCAGUGUUCUCUCUUUGAGGGACAAUCGCCUGGCAGUCCUGCCUCCUGAGCUCGCCCGCACGGCCGAGCUGCACGUGCUUGAUGUAGCUGGGAACCGGUGAGUGUCCACCUGGCCCUUGGGCACUGGUCGUGUCCCUAGCACACACUGACUAUGCCCACCUGGCCCAGGCUACGGAGUCUGCCGUUCGCGCUCACUCACCUCAACCUCAAGGCACUGUGGCUGGCUGAGAACCAGGCGCAGCCCAUGCUGCGGUUCCAGACUGAGGACGAUGCCCAGACUGGCGAGAAGGUGCUCACCUGCUACCUGCUGCCCCAGCAGCCUCUGCCCAGCCUCGGUAGGUUGCUGGCAGCUGUGGCUUUGACUGGGUGGACAAGGCUCGGGGCCAGCCUAGGCCUCUGAUGUUUGUCUCCUGCAGAGGACUCUGGGCAACAGGGGAGCCCCUCAGAAAGCUGGAGUGAAGCCCCUCUGAGCCGAGUCAGCGUCAUCCAGUUCCUGGAGGCCCCUGAGGGUGACGAGGAUGCUGAGGAGGCCGCUGCUGAAAAGCGGGUAUGGGGGGCAUGGGGACCCUGGGUGUGCCUGCUCCUCGCCCCUGCCUGACCCCUGCCCUGCCUCUGUCCUUCAUCCCUGUCCCCGACACAGGGCCUGCAGCGUCGGGCCACUCCCCACCCCAGCGAGCUGAAGGUGAUGAAGAGGGGAGUGGAAGAGCGCCGCAGUGAGGCCUGCCUUUGCACACCAGGCCCUGGCCCGUCCUCACCCACAGAGGAGGUAGGCGCGACGGCGGCACCUGGCACAUAGCUCCCCCCAGCUCCCAGCCACCAAACCCUGGAUGGAGCAUCUGUUCUCAGAGUGGGGCUCGGGGAGCAGCCUGGGGGAGCUAUGAGAGGCUGAGGUGCAGGGCAGACUGGGUGCGGGGAGCUCGUGCAGUGUGCGUAUUGGGACCAGAGUAGGGUGCUCAGGGCCUGCGCCAGUCACGUGCUGGUGACACAGGAUGGCGGUCUGGGAAGGGGUAGGACCUCUUCCCCGGGCACUUGUGUGGCUACCUGGACAUGGUCAGUACUGGGGAGGGGUCUGGUGCUACAGCAGAGCGGGCUUGGCGCGCUCAACUGACAUCAGGAUCUGGGAGCAUUUUUGAUCCUUGAGAGCAGCAGAAGCAGCGAGUGGGAUGGUGAGCAGAGGGCAUGCGCUGGCUGGCAGGGCCACCUGCCCCUGGCUAGGGGAGCCUCACGUCAGGCCCAUAUCUUCAUGGGAAUUUGUAUGGUCCUCAUUCCUCCACUUUUUGGGAGAGCCGUUCCUAGGGGCUGGGCUGCAUAAAUGUGAUUUUGUGUUUCAGUAGCUCUGGAGGCUCAGUUUCCAGGGGCCUGGGGCUACUGCAGGGUUGAGCCUGCUGGGGAUGCUGUGCUUGGGAUAGCCCAGGCAGAGGGCCUGUGGGCAGCCUGAUACCACUGUCUGCAGCAGGAAAAGAGGCUGAGUGCAGAGUCAGGCUCCAGUGGAGGCUCUGGCCCACCCACCAGCACAGCCUCUGAGGGCGAGCCUGAGGGUCCGGCAGCUGAGGCACAGCAGGAAGCCACACCACCCAGCCAGGAGGAAGACACAGAGGAAGACUACGUUGAGGUGAGGAUGGUCAGGGAGAAGGUGGGCCAGGCUUUAGCAGCUAGAGUAUAGACUGCCUGCCUUGUGCCCCAGCCAAGCAGGUGUGUGAUUAGGGUUGAUUUCCACGUGGACGGUCACCAGGCUGUGGCAGACAAUGGCCAGACAAGAGUGGAGUGUAGGGCAGGAUUCCCUUAACAGAGCUGGGCAAAGGAGUAGGGAUGGGGUGAUAGUCCUGGGUGCAGGCAACAUGUUGCAGGAGUUUCCUGGAGGAUGCAGGCUGGUGUAAGGGUUCCCACCCCACAGCCAGGUUCAGCAGUGUCAGGUCCAUCAUCUACUUACUGUCCCCAAAUGGCCCCCUUUUCUGACCCCUGUAGGUACUCCAUUGGUCUUUGCGUAUCAUAAAGUCUCCACCUGUGUGCUCUGUGUCUAUAGAAAGAGCGUCCUCGCCCCUCGUCUUCUGGGGCUGGUGGUUGUGUGUCUCUUACCAAAAGUGUCCUGAGUCCCUGUCCUUGGCACAACAGGGAGCCUCCCUGAGACUCUGGGGUGUACCCAGCUACAAAGCCUGGCUCCCUGGAAGAAGAGGGGGGUCUGGGCCUUGCUCCCACCCUUGUGUUCUCAUCCGCACAGCCCACAGUACACUUUGCAGAGGAUACACUGCUGCCCGGUGAAGAUGGCGAGAGUGAGGAGGGGCAGCUUGAGGCCCCCUGGCCCCUGCCAGGUGGGAGGCAGCGGCUCAUUCGCAAGGACACACCCCACUACAAGAAGCACUUCAAGAUCUCUAAGCUUCCGCAGCCUGAGGCUGUCGUAGCCCUUCUGCAGGGGAUGCAGCCCGACGGGGAGGGCCCUGCAGGGCCUGGUACCUGGCACAAUGGCCCCCACAUGCCCUGGGCUCCUCGGGCCCAGGAGGAGGAGGAGGAGGAGGAGGAGGAGGAGGAGGAAGACAGGGCUGAGGAGGAAGGCGAGGCCACUACAGAAGAGGAGGACAAGGAGGAACCUGCGACUUCUGCACCCUCUGUCAAGGUGGGUCUCACGUGCACUCCUCUCUGGCCCUCCUAGGGUACCUGGGGAUGGGCAGCAUGGAGGCCAGCCCAGACUGCCCUGUGGCUGAGCCCCUCAGGUCAGGCCUCCACUCACU
rnacentral:lncRNA from 1 species